GGAGAGGUUCCCGAGUGGUCAAAGGGAUCAGACUGUAAAUCUGCUGUCGGAUGACUUCGGAGGUUCGAAUCCUCCCCUCUCCACCA
rnacentral:tRNA from 1 species